CUCCCGGCGCGGUCACCGGCGCGGGCUAUGGCUGCGACUUCUCUAAUGUCCGCUUUGGCUGCUCGGCUGCUGCAGCCCGCGCACAGCUGCUCCCUUCGCCUUCGCCCUUUCCACCUCGCGGCAGUUCGAAAUGAAGCUGUUGUCAUUUCUGGAAGGAAACUGGCCCAGCAGAUCAAGCAGGAAGUGCGGCAGGAGGUAGAAGAGUGGGUGGCCUCAGGCAACAAACAGCCACACCUGAGCGUGAUCCUGGUUGGCGAGAAUCCUGCAAGUCACUCCUACGUUCUCAACAAAACCAGGGCAGCUGCAGAUGUGGGAAACCCAAGCAGAGGAGGCUAAUGUGAUCGAACUGUAUCCUAAAACUUUGUCAUAGGAAAUCAGACUAUAUCUUUCGGGGUUUAUAGACUAGGACAGGAGAUACUGGAAUCAACAGUGAGACAAUUGUGAAACCAGCUUCAAUUUCAGAGGAAGAAUUGUUGAAUUUAAUCAAUAAACUGAAUAAUGAUGAUAAUGUAGAUGGCCUCCUUGUUCAGCUGCCUCUUCCAGAGCAUAUUGAUGAGAGAAGGAUCUGCAAUGCUGUUUCUCCAGACAAGGAUGUUGAUGGCUUUCAUGUAAUUAAUGUAGGACGAAUGUGUUUGGAUCAGUAUUCCAUGUUACCGGCUACCCCAUGGGGUGUGUGGGAAAUAAUCAAGCGAACUG
rnacentral:sRNA from 1 species